GGGUUGUGAGGUUAAGCGACUAAGCGUACACGGUGGAUGCCCUGGCAGUCAGAGGCGAUGAAGGACGUGCUAAUCUGCGAUAAGCGUCGGUAAGGUGAUAUGAACCGUUAUAACCGGCGAUUUCCGAAUGGGGAAACCCAGUGUGAUUCGUCACACUAUCAUUAACUGAAUCCAUAGGUUAAUGAGGCGAACCGGGGGAACUGAAACAUCUAAGUACCCCGAGGAAAAGAAAUCAACCGAGAUUCCCCCAGUAGCGGCGAGCGAACGGGGAGCAGCCCAGAGCCUGAAUCAGUGUGUGUGUUAGUGGAAGCGUCUGGAAAGGCGCGCGAUACAGGGUGACAGCCCCGUACACAAAAAUGCACAUGCUGUGAGCUCGAUGAGUAGGGCGGGACACGUGGUAUCCUGUCUGAAUAUGGGGGGACCAUCCUCCAAGGCUAAAUACUCCUGACUGACCGAUAGUGAACCAGUACCGUGAGGGAAAGGCGAAAAGAACCCCGGCGAGGGGAGUGAAAAAGAACCUGAAACCGUGUACGUACAAGCAGUGGGAGCACGCUUAGGCGUGUGACUGCGUACCUUUUGUAUAAUGGGUCAGCGACUUAUAUUCUGUAGCAAGGUUAACCGAAUAGGGGAGCCGAAGGGAAACCGAGUCUUAACUGGGCGUUAAGUUGCAGGGUAUAGACCCGAAACCCGGUGAUCUAGCCAUGGGCAGGUUGAAGGUUGGGUAACACUAACUGGAGGACCGAACCGACUAAUGUUGAAAAAUUAGCGGAUGACUUGUGGCUGGGGGUGAAAGGCCAAUCAAACCGGGAGAUAGCUGGUUCUCCCCGAAAGCUAUUUAGGUAGCGCCUCGUGAAUUCAUCUCCGGGGGUAGAGCACUGUUUCGGCAAGGGGGUCAUCCCGACUUACCAACCCGAUGCAAACUGC
rnacentral:rRNA from 1 species